rnacentral:snoRNA from 1 species
AUCCUUUUGUAGUUCAUAAGCGUGAUGAUUGGGUUUUCACGUGCAUGUGUGAGAUGUGCCUCCCUCCAACCUUGUUACAAUGUCGGCACAUUACCGGUCUGACA